rnacentral:rRNA from 1 species
GACGAACGCUGGCGGCGUGCUUAACACAUGCAAGUCGAACGCUGAAGCUCAGCUUUUGUUGGGUGGAUGAGUGGCGAACGGGUGAGUAACACGUGAGUAACCUGCCCCCUUCUUUGGGAUAACGCCCGGAAACGGGUGCUAAUACUGGAUAUUCACUGGUCUUCGCAUGGGGGUCGGUGGAAAGGGUUUUUCUGGUGGGGGAUGGGCUCGCGGCCUAUCAGCUUGUUGGGGGGGUGAUGGCCUACCAAGGCUUGACGGGUAGCCGGCCUGAGAGAGUGACCGGUCACAUUGGGACUGAGAUACGGCCCAGACUGCUACGGGAGGCAGCAGUGGGGAAUAGUGCACAAUGGGCGCAAGGCUGAUGCAGCGACGCCGCGUGAGGGAUGGAGGCCUUCGGGUUGUGAACCUCUUUCGCUCAUGGUCAAGCCGCAACAAUGGUUGUGGUGAGGGUAGUGGGUAAAGAAGCGCCGGCUAACUACGUG